UGGGGAAUAUUGGACAAUGGGCGCAAGCCUGAUCCAGCCAUGCCGCGUGAGUGAUGAAGGCCCUAGGGUUGUAAAACUCUUUCGUGGGGGACGAUAAUGACGGUACCCCAAGAAGAAGCUCCGGCUAACUUCGUGCCAGCAGCCGCGGUAAUACGAAGGGGGCUAGCGUUGUUCGGAUUUACUGGGCGUAAAGCGCGUGUAGGCGGACUGGAAAGUUGGGGGUGAAAUCCCGAGGCUCAACCUCGGAACUGCCUCCAAAACUUCCAGUCUGGACUCAAGUAGAGGCAAGUGGAAUUGCGAGUGUAGAGGUGAAAUUCGUAUAUAUUCGCAGGAACACCAGUGGCGAAGGCGACUUGCUGGACUUGUAGUGACGCUGAGACGCGAAAGCGUGGGGAGCAAACAGGAUUAGAUACCCCAGUAGUCCCUGAGCGGGCUGGCAAGGCGCAU
rnacentral:rRNA from 1 species